UCGCUAACGUCAAGUAAUGCAGCUAUUAACUACACCACCUUCCUCACGACUGAAAGUGCUUUACAACCCGAAGGCCUUCUUCACACACGCGGCAUGGCUGCAUCAGGCUUGCGCCCAUUGUGCAAUAUUCCCC
rnacentral:rRNA from 1 species